GCGGCUGUAGCUCAGCCAGGUAGAGCAGGAUAUGGAGGCCGGGCGCUUGUUGCCCCGUACACACUAGGCACCUGGCCGGUGCCGUAGCGAAGCCAUACUUCGUUCAGGUCGAUGGGGUCGUGGGUUCGAGUCCUACCUGCCGCA
rnacentral:tRNA from 1 species